GUCAAUCCCCUCCGUAGCUCCACACUUAGAAUCUUCAAAAAUCAGGUACUGGAACCCUCGCAGUAUUAUUCUACGGAUCAACCAUACGGUCCGUAGAUAUAGACGCUGUGGUUCCACACUUGGUCAGAUUUCCCUGAUUUGUCCUCCAUGCCUUGCCUACUGAUCUACGGUCAUCACCUACGGACCGUAAAUGGACCUAAGGUCCGUAGAUCACCUCCGUGAAUGCCUUUCUUCUGCAUUUCUUUCAGCUGUCUCUACACUUCCGCGCCUGAACGUCUUUC
rnacentral:lncRNA from 1 species